CCCUUAGAUGUUCUGGGCCGCACGCGCGCUACACUGAUGCAUUCAACGAGUCUAAAACCUGGUCUGAUAGGGCUGGGUAAUCUUUUGAAUGUGCAUCGUGAUUGGGAUAGAUGAUUGCAAUUCUUCAUCUUCAACGAGGAAUGCCUAGUAAACGCAAGUCAUCAGCUUGCAUUGAUUACGUCCCUGCCCUUUGUACGCACCGCCCGUCGCUCCUACCGAUUGAAUGUUCCGAUGAAUACCAUGGACUGAGAGUAUGAAUGGGUUCGCCUAUUUCUGCUUCUCGGGAAGUGGAGUAAAUCUUAACAUUUAGAGGAAGGAGAAGUCGUAACA
rnacentral:rRNA from 1 species